rnacentral:lncRNA from 13 species
ACCAUUCACGACCAUGGUAGCGUGUUGUUACGUGUAGGCUGAAAAGCAUUGUUAGUCUCGCGGACAUUCGGAUGAAAAGGAUCAAGUUGAAGAGAACCCCCAGAAGGAGUCCGAUCUCGAUACCGAUAAGAAUAGAGAGCACAAAGGUCCCUAUCGCCGCGACCGCAUCUGUUUCUGCGAGAAAAGAAACAUAUUACAGUAAUUUUAUGAUCUUCAGGUCGAUCAUGAACAACACGGCGGUUAUCAGCACCGCCGCAAGUGUCGCACGUGGGAUGUAAUAAAAAUACGGCGUCAAGAAGCUCAGCGCUAGCAAUGCCAUAGUACCUGCGAAAAACGCAAUGUCAUUCAUUACUUCUUUUUUUUUUUUCUUGUGCACUUAUGUGCCACGAAUGUGUCUCAUAUCAUUAUACAAUGCUUUUCACUGUCAUGCUGCAUUUUACACGUCUGUCGCGCCAGAAUCGUAAAUUUCUUUAACAAUGCAUGAGUGUUAUGUAUUAAUAAAUUAUUAUAAAAUAUAGUAAUUUUUUAUGGCUAUUCA